rnacentral:rRNA from 1 species
UACGAAGGGGGCUAGCGUUAUUCGGAAUUAUUGGGCGUAAAGGGCGCGUAGGCGGCUUGAUGUGUCAAAGGUGAAAUCCCUCGGCUCAACUGAGGAACUGCCUUUGAAACUGUCUGGCUUGAGGCCGGGAGAGGGUAGCGGAAUUCCCAGUGUAGCGGUGAAAUGCGUAGAUACUGGGAGGAACACCGGUGGCGAAGGCGGCUACCUGGACCGGUUCUGACGCUGAUGCGCGAAAGCGUGGGUAGCAAACAGG